AGGGCGUUUAACCGCGCAUUAACCAUUUUCAAGCAUGAAUAAGGCAUCCAGGUCUCUCCCUGGAUGUCGAGUGGCUCAGAGGCCCACUCUGUUUGACGCUUCCCUGUUAGACUUCAAGAGCCGCCAUGAGCGGCUCAAUUUUU
rnacentral:sRNA from 1 species